GAUGAACGCUGGCGGCGUGCCUAAUACAUGCAAGUCGAGCGAACAGACGAGGAGCUUGCUCCUCUGACGUUAGCGGCGGACGGGUGAGUAACACGUGUAUAACCCACCUAUAAGACUGGGAUAACUUCGGGAAACCGGAGCUAAUACCGGAUAAUAUAUUGAACCGCAUGGUUCAAUAGUGAAAGACGGUUUUGCUGUCACUUAUAGAUGGAUCCGCGCCGCAUUAGCUAGUUGGUAAGGUAACGGCUUACCAAGGCAACGAUGCGUAGCCGACCUGAGAGGGUGAUCGGCCACACUGGAACUGAGACAGGGUCCAGACUCCUACGGGAGGCAGCAGUAGGGAAUCUUCCGCAGUGGGCGAAAGCUUGACGGAGCAACGCCGCGUGAGUGAUGAAGGUCUUCGGAUCGUGAAACUCUGUUAUUAGGGAAGAACAAAUGUGUAAGUAGCUAUGCCCGUCUUGACGGUACCUAAUCAGAAAGCCACGGCUAACUACGUG
rnacentral:rRNA from 1 species